rnacentral:rRNA from 1 species
GAAUCUGCCCUUAGGAGGGGGAUAACGGUUGGAAACGACCGCUAAGACCCCAUAUGCCGAGAGGUGAAACAGUUUUCUGCCUGAGGAUGAGCUCGCGUCCGAUUAGCUAGUUGGUGAGGUAAGAGCUUACCAAGGCGACGAUCGGUAGCUGGUCUGAGAGGAUGAUCAGCCACACUGGGACUGAGACACGGCCCAGACUCCUACGGGAGGCAGCAGUGGGGAAUUUUCCGCAAUGGGCGAAAGCCUGACGGAGCAAGACCGCGUGAGGGAAGAAGGUCUGUGGAUUGUAAACCUCUUUUGAUUGGGAAGAAGUUCUGACGGUACCAAUCGAAUCAGCCUCGGCUAACUCCGUGCCAGCAGCCGCGGUAAUACGGAGGAGGCAAGCGUUAUCCGGAAUUAUUGGGCGUAAAGCGUCCGUAGGUGGAUGUUCAAGUCUUCUGUCAAAGCGCGGAGCUUAACUCCGUAAAGGCAGAGGAAACUGAGCGUCUAGAGUGCGAUAGGGGCAAGGGGAAUUCCCAGUGUAGCGGUGAAAUGCGUAGAUAUUGGGAAGAACACCGGUGGCGAAAGCGCCUUGCUGGGUCUGCACUGACACUGAGGGACGAAAGCUAGGGGAGCGAAAGGGAUUAGAUACCCCUGUAGUC